rnacentral:rRNA from 1 species
UGCGUAGGCGGGUUUCUAAGUCAGAGGUGAAAGCCUGGAGCUCAACUCCAGAACUGCCUUUGAUACUGGAAGUCUUGAGUAUGGCAGAGGUGAGUGGAACUGCGAGUGUAGAGGUGAAAUUCGUAGAUAUUCGCAAGAACACCAGUGGCGAAGGCGGCUCACUGGGCCAUUACUGACGCUGAGGCACGAAAGGCGUGGGGAGCAAACA